UACGAGGGGGGCAAAUGUUGUUCGGAAUCACUGGGCGUAAAGGGAGCGUAGGCGGGUUUUUAAGUCAGGUGUUUAAUCCCGGGGCCCAACCCCGGACAGGCACUUGAAACUGGGAAUCUUGAAUAGUGGAGAGGUCGGUGGAAUUGGGGGUGUAGCGGUGGAAUGCGUAGAGAUCCCCAAGAACACCCGUUGCGAAGGCGGCCGACUGGACACAUAUUGACGCUGAGGCUCGAAAGCAUGGGGAGCGAACAGG
rnacentral:rRNA from 1 species